GAUCAUGGCUCAGGACGAACGCUGGCGGCAUGCCUAACACAUGCAAGUCGAACGGAGCCAAUCAAACAAUCCCUUCGGGGUGCGUUUGAGGAAGCUUAGUGGCGGACGGGUGAGUAACGCGUGAGUAACCUGCCUCUCAGAGUGGAAUAACGUUCCGAAAGGAACGCUAAUACCGCAUAACGUAUUGAUACCGCAUGAUAUUGAUACCAAAGAUUUAUCGCUGAGAGAUGG
rnacentral:rRNA from 1 species